GAGUUUGAUCAUGGCUCAGAUGACGCUGGCGGCAUGCCUUACACAUGCAAGUCGAACGGCAGCAUGAUCUAGCUUGCUAGAUUGAUGGCGAGUGGCGAACGGGUGAGUAAUACAUCGGAACGUGCCCUGUAGUGGGGGAUAACUAGUCGAAAGAUUAGCUAAUACCGCAUACGACCUGAGGGUGAAAGUGGGGGACCGCAAGGCCUCAUGCUAUAGGAGCGGCCGAUGUCUGAUUAGCUAGUUGGUGGGGUAAAGGCCCACCAAGGCGACGAUCAGUAGCUGGUCUGAGAGGACGAUCAGCCACACUGGGACUGAGACACGGCCCAGACUCCUACGGGAGGCAGCAGUGGGGAAUUUUGGACAAUGGGCGAAAGCCUGAUCCAGCAAUGCCGCGUGUGUGAAGAAGGCCUGGUGUAAG
rnacentral:rRNA from 1 species